GCGAAGCAGAAGGUGGCGCUAAUUUGCACACUACACUGAUUCCUUACCGCUCUUUGGAAAAACACAGAAGAAGAAAAGUUUGAACAACGCAGCAAGGCGGGAAGCAGCAGACAGUAGGGUUGCAGAAACUACCUACGCAGCAGCAAUCAGCCUCACUGGACUUACUUUUCAAGAAGUUAAGGAAGAUAACUGGAGAUGUGAUAACGAUACCAGCAAAAAUUGUUGAAGAAGACUGAGAAGAAACUGCCCCUCAUUAGAAAGAUGAUGGAGACCACAUUUCCCCUACGCCGACAGACCAUAGUGAUGUCCUGCCCACCAGUGAACGACCUCAUGGAUCUCUGGCUUGCUCUUAAAAUAGAGUCUGAGUUGUAUGCAGAGUUCCAGCGGAUUACAAAUCAGAACCUGCCCAACCCGU